rnacentral:sRNA from 1 species
UUGAAAUGCCAUGUGUGCUGGAGGAUGAACAGGAGGAUACAUAUAUCUGUUGGGGGGUUUGGAUUGGUUCGUCCCCUCUACUACCAGCAUGGCGCUGGUGUGAGAGAGCUCUUUUGCCCCAGUGGCCUAACAAUAUCCGCCAACAAACGCCCGUGAGAGAGACUAACUAACCAAGACGCAGUAGAUGUCAGCAGUUCCGCCCGUGGUACUACUAUUCUCCUUCAUCCAAGGGAAGAAAAAAAAGGCUCGGGGCGCUUAUCUUAAUAACAUCUUUGAAAGUUUAGCCGCGGGCGAUCCCCGAAUUAUCCACGAAUGCAUGAGGC